rnacentral:lncRNA from 1 species
GGAAGGGGUAAAUUCUGAAGAACCAGCUACCAUGGAUGAUCUUUCAAGGAGAAGUAAUAAAAGUUGUUUAGCAGAACUAAGUCCACACUCCAAUUUUAAGGAUGAUGGUAUUCCACUAAUUUAUAAUGAGCAUAAUAAGGCAGAGGAGCAAGACUUCUUAAAAGAGGCAGUAGCAACAUCUCCAUUGCAAUUCAGAAGUGGAAGUGACCAAAUUAAAAACGGAGACAGGGCUUCAUCAAAUCUAAGCAGGAUUAGCUGGAAUACAUCAGGAAGCAAAGCAGGCUCAGAGAAUGACUCAAGAGUAAAUGAAACAGAAGAGGAAGAAAACUACUGGAAUGUAAAG